UUGCUCUUGUUUGGUCAGCGCCGGACGGGUGAGUAACACGUGGGCAACCUGCCCGCAAGACCGGGAUAACUCCGGGAAACCGGAGCUAAUACCGGGUAACACCAAUGACCGCAUGGUCUUCGGUUGAAAGGCGGCUUCGGCUGUCACUUGCGGAUGGGCCCGCGGCGCAUUAGCUAGUUGGUGAGGUAACGGCUCACCAAGGCGACGAUGCGUAACCGGCCUUAGGGUGACCGGACACUCUGGCCCUGAGACACGGCCCAUACCUUCCUACGGGAUGCCGCAGUAUGGAAUCUUCCGCAAUGAGACGAUAGUCUGACGGUAGCGACGCCGCGUGAAGCGAAAGAAAGGCCUUCGGGUCGUAAAGCUCUGUUGUGAGGGACGAAGGAGCGCCGUUUGAAUAAGGCGGCGCGGUGACGGUACCUCACGAGAAAGCCCCGGCUAACUACUUGCCAGCAGCCGCGGUAAUUCGUAGGGGGCGACCGUUGUCCGGAAUUAUUGGGCGUAAAGCGCGCGCAGGCGGUCCUUUAAGUCUGAUGUGAAAGCCCACGGCUCAACCGUGGAGGGUCAAUGGAAACUGGGGGACUUGAGUGCAGGAGAGGAGAGCGGAAUUCCACGUGUAGCGGUGAAGUGCGUAGAGAUGUGGAUCACACCAGUGGCGAAGGCGGCUCUCUGGCCUGUAAGUGACGAUGAGGCGCGAGAAGCGUGGGGAGCAAACAGGAUUAGAUAACCCUGGCAUUCCACGCCGUAAAACGAUGAGUGCUAAGUGUUAGAGGGGUCACACCCUUUAGUGCUGCAGCUAACGCGAUAAGCACUCCGCCUGGGGAGUACGGCCGCAAGGCUGAAACUCAAAGGAAUUGACGGGGGCCCGCACAAGCGCUGGAGCAUGGUUUAAUUCCAAGCAACGCGAAGAACCUUACCAGGUC
rnacentral:rRNA from 1 species